GUCUAAGUACUAGCCAACUUUUAAAAUGGUGAAACCGCGAAAAGCUCAUUAAAUCGGCUUUGGUUCCUUAGAUAGUUUGCAGAUUGGAGUUUUUUUCGACCUGUCGAAAAAAACAAAAUUCUGAAAUGGAUAACUGUGGUAAUUCUAGAGCUAAUACAUGAAAAAAAUUCGGUGCGAAACUGCGUUUGUUUUUGACAAACGUURGGCUUUGCACGCUUUUAUUAGAGAAAAAAGCCAAUUUUACUAUUGCUCACGUGUGUCUGUUUUAUUGCGAUGAUGGCAUAACAGUUGUUUUUUUGAAUAGCUGUUUUCUAUUAUUGUUUAAACGGCUGCGUGUGAAACCAAUACUAAUAAAAAUUUUGGUGUUGAAUCUGAAUAACUUGAAUGGAUUCUCUUUGAAAGAAUUUUGUUUCGUUUCGGAAUGAAAUUUGAUUAGAAGAGGGUUUAAAGCAGACCGCAUUAAAAGCUGCAAACAAAACGAUGAGAUCGCUCUCGGGCGUUCGAUUCGAUGUUUGUAGUUUAUGUGGG
rnacentral:rRNA from 1 species